CAAAAUACGUGAAGUAAUCUUAUAUUCAUACAAGCAUUGUCAAAGUUGCUAGUGUUGCCACUAGUAGCAUAAUCGGAGAUUAUGUUGGUGCCGGUGCAAAAAAAGUGGCAAUGUUAGUAAUGUUAACCAGUAACAAACUGCAACU